GGCACCAGAAUUAAGUUAGGGUUUUUCAAAAUGCUGACACGCCGAGCUCAAAAAGUUCGCCAUCACUGGACUAGAGGCCUGGUGCACAAAAAUUUGUGCACUUGGGGUGG